rnacentral:rRNA from 1 species
GAUGAACGCUGGCGGCGUGCCUAAUACAUGCAAGUCGAGCGAACGGACGAGAAGCUUGCUUUUCUGAUGUUAGCGGCGGACGGGUGAGUAACACGUGGAUAACCUACCUAUAAGACUGGGAUAACUUCGGGAAACCGGAGCUAAUACCGGAUAAUAUUUUGAACCGCAUGGUUCAAAAGUGAAAGACGGUCUUGCUGUCACUUAUAGAUGGAUCCGCGCUGCAUUAGCUAGUUGGUAAGGUAACGGCUUACCAAGGCAACGAUGCAUAGCCGACCUGAGAGGGUGAUCGGCCACACUGGAACUGGGACACGGACCAGACGCCUACGAGAGGCAGCAGUAGGGAAUCUUCCGCAAUGGGCGAAAGCCUGACGGAGCAACGCCGCGUGAGUGAUGAAGGUCUUCGGAGCGUAAAACUCUGUUAUUAGGGAAGAACAGAUGUGUAAGUAACUGUGCACAUCUUGACGGUACCUAAUCAGAAAGCCACGGCUAACUACGUG